rnacentral:rRNA from 2 species
UGCCUAUACAUGCAGUCGAACGAACUCUGGUAUUGAUUGGUGCUUGCAUCAUGAUUUACAUUUGAGUGAGUGGCGAACUGGUGAGUAACACGUGGGAAACCUGCCCAGAAGCGGGGGAUAACACCUGGAAACAGAUGCUAAUACCGCAUAACAACUUGGACCGCAUGGUCCGAGCUUGAAAGAUGGCUUCGGCUAUCACUUUUGGAUGGUCCCGCGGCGUAUUAGCUAGAUGGUGAGGUAACGGCUCACCAUGGCAAUGAUACGUAGCCGACCUGAGAGGGUAAUCGGCCACAUUGGGACUGAGACACGGCCCAAACUCCUACGGGAGGCAGCAGUAGGGAAUCUUCCACAAUGGACGAAAGUCUGAUGGAGCAACGCCGCGUGAGUGAAGAAGGGUUUCGGCUCGUAAAACUCUGUUGUUAAAGAAGAACAUAUCUGAGAGUAACUGUUCAGGUAUUGACGGUAUUUAACCAGAAAGCCACGGCUAACUACGUGCCAGCAGCCGCGGUAAUACGUAGGUGGCAAGCGUUGUCCGGAUUUAUUGGGCGUAAAGCGAGCGCAGGCGGUUUUUUAAGUCUGAUGUGAAAGCCUUCGGCUCAACCGAAGAAGUGCAUCGGAAACUGGGAAACUUGAGUGCAGAAGAGGACAGUGGAACUCCAUGUGUAGCGGUGAAAUGCGUAGAUAUAUGGAAGAACACCAGUGGCGAAGGCGGCUGUCUGGUCUGUAACUGACGCUGAGGCUCGAAAGUAUGGGUAGCAAACAGGAUUAGAUACCCUGGUAGUCCAUACCGUAAACGAUGAAUGCUAAGUGUUGGAGGGUUUCCGCCCUUCAGUGCUGCAGCUAACGCAUUAAGCAUUCCGCCUGGGGAGUACGGCCGCAAGGCUGAAACUCAAAGGAAUUGACGGGGGCCCGCACAAGCGGUGGAGCAUGUGGUUUAAUUCGAAGCUACGCGAAGAACCUUACCAGGUCUUGACAUACUAUGCAAAUCUAAGAGAUUAGACGUUCCCUUCGGGGACAUGGAUACAGGUGGUGCAUGGUUGUCGUCAGCUCGUGUCGUGAGAUGUUUGGGUUAAGUCCCGCAACGAGCGCAACCCUUAUUAUCAGUUGCCAGCAUUAAGUUGGGCACUCUGGUGAGACUGCCGGUGACAAACCCGAGGAAAGGGGGGGGAAUAAAUUCAAAUCAUCAUGGCCCCUUAUGACCUGGGGGUACCCACUGGUUCCAAAGGGAGGGGGGCA